AACAUCAAAUCGCCUAUCCGUCCUCCGAAAUAAGUCAGCGUGAUCUUUAACCACGUCGAUUGGAGCUAGUAGACGGCAAAAGCGUAGAGAGAUUAGCACGUUGCUGGGCGCCUGGCGUUGACACCUACAUGGAGCGUUGGGAAUCAGUUGUGGCUACAGAC
rnacentral:snoRNA from 1 species